rnacentral:lncRNA from 1 species
GUGAUUGUUUAUUAAUGUAGCAUUACACUUGUGUAGAUCCAGAGAAAAUAUGACAUUUGUUAAAGUAUUAACAUCUUUCUGGAAAGCUUUCACUUCCUGAAAUAAGCAUAAUAAUGACCAGGAGGAUUUGGUAGCUCAGGGAAGGUUCCUGCAGUGGGACACUGAGGUGGCUGUGGCUGGAGUAGUUCCCCUGUGCAAGGAGGCAAGGGGACAAGACCUGGCUGUGGCUGGAGAAGGGGCAGGGCCAGGAGCACCCAGCAGCACCCCUGUGCCCACGCAGGGCUGCCUGGGAGACAGAGCAGACUCUUCUCUUUGGGGCACAGUGGGAGGACAAGGGCCUGGCACCAGGAAGCCUCUCUGUGGAAGCAGAGCUGUUAACCGACCAAGUACAUCUUUAAUUUCCAAGACCGAUGGUUUGGUAGCAGUUGAGAGGAAGAAUGAUUUGCAUAAGGCCCCAGAAGGGUGCCAAAACUCUUCACGCUUUAAACAACAGCCUUUAUUAUUCUUGCUGAGUUGCUUGCUCUCUCCUGCUGCUCAUGUCAGAGGCAACUGAACUUGGAGAUCAGCAUGAAGAGAAAGGAGCAAUAUAAUUGCAUACCACAGAAGCCAGAUGUUUAGUAAAAUCAUGGGGAAUCUUGUCAGGAAGUGCCAUUGAAGUUCCUAGGAGAUUCACCACUUUCCCAAAGAAAAUUGGAAAAUUGUAUUCUGAAAGGAAAUGCAUUUGUUCCUUGGGAGUAAUGUGUCAA